rnacentral:ncRNA from 2 species
GUCCGCUUCCCCGCUUGCACCCGUUUGGGUGAGCUAAGGCCCUCGAGGCAAGGGAGGCUCCACUUCAAAGAGGC